rnacentral:rRNA from 1 species
AACGAACGUUGGCGGCGCGCCUAACACAUGCAAGUCGCACGAGAAAGGGAGCAAUCCCCGGUACAGUGGCGCACGGGUGAGUAACACGUGGAUAAUCUUCCCUCGGGCGGGGGAUAACCUUCCGAAAGGAGGGCUAAUACCGCAUAAGACCACGGCCAGUACGCUGGCUGAGGUCAAAGCAGGCCUCUUCAUGAAAGCUUGCACCUGAGGAUGAGUCCGCGGCCCAUCAGCUAGUUGGUAGUGUUAAAGACUACCAAGGCUAAGACGGGUAGCUGGUCUGAGAGGAUGAUCAGCCACACUGGAACUGAGACACGGGUCCAGACUCCUACGGGAGGCAGCAGUGGGGGAAUCUUGCGCAAUGGACGAAAGUCUGACGCAGCGACGCCGCGUGGGUGA